AUACAGCGAAACUGCGAAUGGCUCAUUAUAUAAGUUCAUCGUUUAUUUGAUAGUGCCUUACUACUUGGAUAACCGUGGUAAUUCUAGAGCUAAUACAUGCUAAAAACCCCGACUUCGGAAGGGGUGUAUUUAUUAGAUACAAAACCAAUGCCCUUCGGGGCUCUUUGGUGAUUCAUGAUAACUAUACGAAUCGCACGGCCUUGCGCCGGCGAUGGUUCAUUCAAAUUUCUUCCCUAUCAACUUUCGAUGUUUGGGUAUUGGCCAAACAUGGUUGCAACGGGUAACGGAGGGUUAGGGCUCGACCCCGGAGAAGGAGCCUGAGAAACGGCUACUACAUCCAAGGAAGGCAGCAGGCGCGCAAAUUACCCAAUCCCGACUCGGGGAGGUAGUGACAAUAAAUACUGAUACAGGGCCCUUUCGGGCCUUGUAAUUGGAAUGAGUACAAUUUAAAUCCCUUAACGAGGAACAAUUGGAGGGCAAGUCUGGUGCCAGCAGCCGCGGUAAUUCCAGCUCCAAUAGCGUAUAU
rnacentral:rRNA from 1 species